rnacentral:rRNA from 1 species
GGUAUCAUGACCGUGCGAAGGUAGCAUAAUCAUUAGUCUCUUAAUUGGGGGCUGGAAUGAAUGGUUGGACGAGAAAUUAGCUGUCUUAGUUUUGAAAAUUGAAUUUAACUUUUAAGUGAGAAGGCUUAAAUGGGCUAGAGGGACGAUAAGACCCUAUAAAGUUUGUACAUUAAACUAAUUAAAGGUGGUUUAGGUUUAUAAAAUCUGCCAUUAGGGAAGUGUUUAGUUGGGGCGAUUGGGAUAUAAGUUAUCUAACUGUUUCUUUGUUUUAAUCAAAAAUAUUUGAGUUUAUGAUCCUUUUUUAGGAUUAAAGAGUAAAUUACUUUAGGGAUAACAGCGUAAUUUUUUUUGAGAGUUCUUAUCGAUAAGAGAGUUUGCGACCUCGAUGUUGAAUUAAAAUUUC